UUGCACUGUCUUUGAACCUGGGUAGUCUUGUCGGUGACCGCUUAGGCCAAGCUUCAGUGCUAAAGCAACCUCAGGCUUGUUUAUAACUGGAGCCUCCUGGCUAUACUCCCAGCUUGCUCUUUUAAAAGCAAUCCACAAUG
ensembl:snoRNA small nucleolar RNA SNORA50